AAGGAAGAAGAAGUAAGGGUUUUAUAUACUGUUGAGUCUUAUGUUUCAAAGUUUCGUAAUGUGUAACCUCGCGAACAAGAUCGCUCGGUCGCGGCUGCGCCGCUUAUACAACAGAAUACAAAUGUGCUUAUGAAAGCAAGCUUUCAACACACAUUUCCAUUCCGUUGUGCACGCAUUACUAGUAAGACACGAAAUUUCUGGUGCCGAUGCGCUUAGGGGAGACACCCGUUCCCAUCCCGAACACGAUGGUUAAGACUUAAGCGGCCGAUGGUACUAUGCUGGAGACGGCAUGGGAGAGCAGGUGGGUGCCAGAUUACUUUAAAAAAAUUCACUCUAACGAGUGUUUUAUAUAGAACGGACAUGUUCCAAUGGGCGGAGGGAAAAGCGAAGCCUGUGUUUAAAGAAUAUGUUAACCUGAUUCAGCAGGGCAGUGCUGUUUUAUAUAGCUGGUUUUUACCAGUGAUUCGUGGGUUCGAGCUGAUCGAGCAAGCGAAUGACUGAUAAACUUCAGUCAGGUGAUGCUGUUAUGAAGUAUGUUAAUCGCAUUUCAGAUUACAUCACGCAUGUACCUUGAAAACCACAUAUUGAAAUAUAUCUAGAUAGAGUUUUUAUAUGUCAAAGUAUAAAGACGAUAUCAAGACAUCCGAGGUGUUACAUCUAACGAUGUAACCAAACAAAACUCGUUAAAGUAACCGUAACGUACGGUGAAAUAACAAACCUAAGACCAGAGAUACAACGCUAUGUAUCUUAGAUCAGUAGCCCGCACCCGCAGGUGAACAUCGAAUUGGUUAAGCUAUAAAGAGCG
rnacentral:misc_RNA from 1 species